AAACAGGUGUAAUUGCUCACAGGGAAAAGGCUCAAGUGUUCACUGUUGACAAGAGUAAAUGAGUGCUGGUGGUGGGAGCAGUCGUCAGUAUAAGCAGAUGGAGCAAUAGCCUACCAGGAAUGCUCUUUGCUGCAGGAGAAGAGCCUUCAGGCUUUUUGCAUAGCCACCAGCAGCUACUGAAAACUGAAUUCAAACAGACAAAUCAACCACCACUAAACUACCCUGAUGGGACACUGCAAUGGCCACCUUGGCAGCCGUGUGGCUCAGUCCUCACAGCAGCGUUCUCUUCUAUUUAUCAAUUUCUUCCCUGUAUCUCCUGGUUUGCCUGCGUCUUCAUUCAUCAUUCAUUUACAAAGCCAUUCAGAGCAUCAGAAACCAAUUUCCUCCCUGAACCUGGUCCUGUAACAAAACAAGGCUACCCCGCAUGCAAGUGAUGUUAUGAAGAUGUGUGCUGUUUUGAACAGAGGAGCGUGUAGCAGGAGGUGGAUUAAGACUAAAAAGAAGCCAAAACUGGUUUUCACAAACUAAAUCUUGUCUUCAGCUCAGCAUCCCUCCACAACAUAAAAAUAGAUGUUUUCUGCUUUGUUCUCUUGCACAGGUCUGUAAACUGUCAUGAAAUUACAUGUCAAGCUAACGGACAAUGAAGUUCAACUUGCACUUUUGUUCUCUUCUCUCAAUCUUUGAUUCCUUUCUCCAAUCAGACAGCUUAAUUAGCCCAGGCCCACCCAACAAGUAGCUGGCUAGCAGCUACCCAUCCCGCGCGUGCUGCUCUGCCUCUGAAUCACCGCCUUGACUGAGAUCCAAGGGCUCCGCUUUACUCUCCCUCCGGGCUGUGCGUGUACGAGCGUGCAAGCAUACUGCAGGCAACCCGCGUUUCAUCCCUAUCUGCAGAUAGCAAAUGUAAAUCACCGGGGCUAUUACACAACCACUACCUUACAUAUGUACAAAUUUGUUGGUUGGUUCACUCAUACCAGUGUUUGCUCUGGUGACUCUGCCCGGUGAAUCCCCAGGGCAGCAGGACCCACGUGCCCUGCAGACAGAGGACAGCACCUUCACAACAUCUCCAGGAGGUAAGGAGCUCAUGAGGCUCUACAUGUCUUCUCAGAGGUAGGACUGGGUGGUGGGUGGCUUGGCUGGGAGGGCAUGGGCAACUGUGAAAUAGGUUGGGUUUAGAUAAGAGUUUCCCCAGGGUGUCCGGGUUUGUAGUUCAUGCUGCCACCUAUCUCACCAAUACCUGUGUUCUCCAUAGACUGUGCGUGUGUAGGAGGUAAAGGUGAAAGAGUCUGAGAUUUGCACAGCUACGAUGGCUUUUACACCCUCCACCGCUCUAAGUUUCUUGAGAGAAGCCUUGUAACUUCUUCAUGCUUGGUCACUGAACUGCGUGUUGUCUGUGAGAGUGGCCAAGUAAGAAUGCUUUUGUCCAUCUAACCGUAAAUAGUGUGUGUUGCUUUGCUUUUAAUAAGACUGAGGAAAAAUACUGCCCAUGCAUUUCAGAUCCUGCUUUCACAGUCUCCCUUACUCCUGUAAGCCAAGGAGAGCCAUGCAUGCUAAAGGGUCACAUCCACAGAGGAACAUGGCACAGACAUGAAGUCCUCCUGACUUUUUUCACCUUAUCUCAUACUUCCUACUUAUCUCAAUCUUUCUACCAAUAUUCUCAUGGCAGCAUUCCUUCUGGCACCCCUUCUCCAGUGUACCUCCAGGGAAAAAGCUUCAGAUAGAUCCUUCCAACUUAAAGGGCCACAGGAGCUGAGGAAGACUAUUUCUUGUGCUGUUGCUCUCAGUCAUUCUCUGAUCUCCAGUUUUUUAUUCUAUAAAUCACUAUAUUUCCAUUCUGGCUUAUACACAGUCUUUCUGUGCAUGUAAAUGCAUACAGGUGCAUGUAAAUACGUGUUACUCAUAUAUACAUAUGUGUAUGGAAAGGUUGGGAAGCAGUAUACCGGUAUGAUGCCCAACCUUUCACUCUGCGACAUGACAACCUUGCUUUAUGUAGCUGCAGUCCUCAGAUCAAUAAAAGCCUCUUUACUUGCCAGACCUCUUUGCCAUCUCUGCAGAUGUUAGCCCAUCCUCACCUCUGCCUGGCAUCCCUGGCACUGAUGAGGGUGCACAGUGGUGAAGGCUGGCCAUGCCCUGCCUGUCUCCCCUGCCACAAGCAGGCUGCGGGACUCGCCAGAGCAUGGUGUGUGAUUACCAGCCAUGUCUCAGUAAGGUAAACUUGGAGAUUCUUGUCUGAAACCCAACCUUGACUGCUCUGGGAGGAGAAGCAAGCUGCAAGGGCUCAGAUCCAAACAAGAGGCUCUGAUUUUAAUCUCUUCCUAAGAAUUUCAGUCUGCACUGGAGGCAACACCUGGAGAUGACUCCUCCUGCCUGCGAUCCAGAUGUUCCUGAGAUACCUGAGCUGUGGUGCCUUUGUGGCACUAGCAUCUCCCCAGGUGCUGCUGCACUGAACUGUUACAGCACUCCUCAAUGGGGCCUUCUCACUAUCGUUUCACCC